rnacentral:rRNA from 1 species
ACACUCCUACGGGAGGCAGCAGUGGGGAAUUUUGGACAAUGGGCGAAAGCCUGAUCCAGCAAUGCCGCGUGAGUGAAGAAGGCCUUCGGGUUGUAAAGCUCUUUUGUCAGGGAAGAAACGGUGAGAGCUAAUAUCUUUUGCUAAUGACGGUACCUGAAGAAUAAGCACCGGCUAACUACGUGCCAGCAGCCGCGGUAAUACGUAGGGUGCAAGCGUUAAUCGGAAUUACUGGGCGUAAAGCGUGCGCAGGCGGUUUUGUAAGUCUGAUGUGAAAUCCCCGGGCGCAACCUGGCAAUUGCAUUGGAGACUGCAAGGCUAGAAUCUGGCAGAGGGGGGUAGAAUUCCACGUGUAGCAGUGAAAUGCGUAGAUAUGUGGAGGAACACCGAUGGCGAAGGCAGCCCCCUGGGUCAAGAUUGACGCUCAUGCACGAAAGCGUGGGGAGCAAACAGGAUUAGAUACCCUUGUAGUCCCAUG